AUCUGGGUUGCUCUCGGCAGUAGAGUCUUUGCCUUGCAUGCAGAAGGUCCCUGGUUCAAUCCCCGGCUUCUCCAGAUA